rnacentral:rRNA from 1 species
UACAGAGACUGCGAGCGUUAUUCGGAUUCACUGGGCGUAAAGCGUGCGCAGGCGGUUGUGUAAGACAGAUGUGAAAUCCCCGGGCUCAACCUGGGAACUGCAUCUGUGACUGCAUCGCUGGAGUACGGUAGAGGGGGAUGGAAUUCCGCGUGUAGCAGUGAAAUGCGUAGAUAUGCGGAGGAACACCGAUGGCGAAGGCAAUCCCCUGGACCUGUACUGACGCUCAUGCACGAAAGCGUGGGGAGCAAACAGG